AACGAGCUAACGCGUGAAGUUGACCGCCUGGGAGUACGGCCGACAAGGUUAAAACUCAAAGGAAUUGACGGGGACCCGCACAAGCGGUGGAUGAUGUGGUUUAAUUCGAUGCAACGCGAAAAACCUUACCCACCUUUGACAUGUACGGAAUCCUUUAGAGAUAGAGGAGUGCUCGAAAGAGAGCCGUAACACAGGUGCUGCAUGGCUGUCGUCAGCUCGUGUCGUGAGAUGUUGGGUUAAGUCCCGCAACGAGCGCAACCCUUGCCAUUAGUUGCUACGAAAGGGCACUCUAAUGGGACUGCCGGUGACAAACCGGAGGAAGGUGGGGAUGACGUCAAGUCCUCAUGGCCCUUAUAGGUGGGGCUACACACGUCAUACAAUGGCUGGUACAAAGGGUUGCCAACCCGCGAGGGGGAGCCAAUCCCACAAAGCCAGUCGUAGUCCGGAUCGCAGUCUGCAACUCGACUGCGUGAAGUCGGAAUCGCUAGUAAUCGUGGAUCAGAAUGUCACGGUGAAUACGUUCCCGGGUC
rnacentral:rRNA from 1 species